CCGGACCAGUGCAAGGCACUAGAGGCUGUGCUUCCUCCCAAGGCAUCGGUUCAGCUGACUGACAUGGAGCUGGAUGAGUGCGAGGAAACAACCCUGCAUGAUGUUAACAUUGAGGAAGUGAUGCGUAGGAAACAGACUCAAGCUCAACAAGAAGCUUAUGAUGAAGAUGAGGACAUGCAUGGUGGUGCGCAGAGAGUACAAUGCGCUCAGCAAUGAUAAAAAAAAGCCGAAUGUCCGAGACACAGACGGUGGUUUUUGGCGAUGGAAUGUACUGUGGUUAAAAAA
rnacentral:lncRNA from 1 species